CCCUUAGAUGUUCUGGGCUGCACGCGCGCUACACUGACGCACGCAACAGGUGCCUGCUCCGAGAGGACUGGGUAAUCAUUUGAGUGUGCGUCGUGAUGGGGGUAGAAUAUUGUAAUUAUUACUCUUCAACGAGGAAUUCCUAGUAAGCGCCAGUCAGCAGCUUGCGCUGAUUACGUCCCUGCCCUUUGUACACACCGCCCGUCGCUCCUACCGAUGGGUGAUCCGGUGAAUGAUUCGGACUUCAGCGGCUCCCCUGGGGUGCGCCGGAGAAAGUUUUGUGAACCUUAUCACUUGGAGGAAGGAGAAGUCGUAACA
rnacentral:rRNA from 1 species